rnacentral:rRNA from 1 species
UACGUAGGGCGCAAGCGUUAUCCGGAAUUAUUGGGCGUAAAGAGCUCGUAGGCGGUUUGUCGCGUCUGCCGUGAAAGUCCGGGGCUCAACUCCGGAUCUGCGGUGGGUACGGGGCAGACUAGAGUGAUGUAGGGGAGACUGGAAUUCCUGGUGUAGCGGUGAAAUGCGCAGAUAUCAGGAGGAACACCGAUGGCGAAGGCGGGUCUCUGGGCCGUAACUGACGCUGAGGAGCGAAAGCAUGGGGGAGCGAACAGG